GGGGGGGGGGGGGGUUCACACCUAGCUCGGCUAUUAGAGUAUUAUUCAGUAAAGGUUGUUCAGUUAUUAGCCCCCCCUCCCCAAUUUGCAACAAAUUGUUGUUCCCAUCUCAUUCCUUUCCCUCUUCUACGCGUCAUCAUUCUGCUCCUGAGUGGCUCGCUUGUGGGCGUGCUGGCAGGAUAUGGCAGCAUUUUCGGUUGUGCGUCAAGAAUUCUACAUACAGUAGCACGUUUGUAUGAAGGUGUGGUUAUUCACAGGCAAAUUGUUAUAUGCUAUGGGUACAUUUGGGUAUUUUUGUCAAGAGCAAAACCUCUUUUUAAAAAAAAUAUUUUUUGUAUCAAAAAUAAGUGUUAUGAAAGCAACUUUUUUCCGACACAAAGGAAGUCAAAGCGGACACCUACAAAGAUGGCAUCUCAGAGAGCGAGCUGAUCAAGAGGUGGAAAAUGUAGAUAUUGCCAGAUGUUCACUGUCUGAGGAACAGGGCGUGGAAGCUUUAUCGCUGGCAAAAGUGUCCAUAACCAGAGGUUAUAUCAGCUGUAUUGGUGAACCCCUCCCGCAUCUGAACUGGCUGACAGAGAGGGCACUUGGUCGGGUCAACAGGAAUAUUAUUAAAGAGAUGCUUUACAUUGAAAUACAGACAGAGAUGUAGUAGUCCCAGAGUGACUGACCGUGUUAGAAUAUAAAAACAAAGCUUAAUCAUGCUCUCUCUCUAUCCAUCUGUCACUCGUCUGCAGGCAUGUUUUGAUGUGAGAGAGAAAGCCAGUCCCAUCAUCGCCACCUCAUCCGCUCUUAAGAUAACCUUCGGGCCAACUGGGGGCCCAAGGCUGGUUAGGAGACACCGCAAUUGUGAUGAACAGAGAAUAUUAGGGUAGCAUUAGGGUAGUCUGCCGCUGUUCUUACCUCUUUUACUUUCUGUCUUCUACACCUCUCUCCCCACCUUGUCUUUCUUCCUCGUUUUAUAAUGCACACCAUAUGUGCAUUGAAGUACAGAUAGAACUUGUAUUUAUAAUAUUACAAUUAUCAUUAUAAUGCAUUUAUUAUGUAUUUAUAACACCUGAAUAAUUAACUUCUUUCAAUAAAGCGUUUCACAGUCUCCACUGGUUGAAA